AAUAGUGGCGCACGGGUGCGUAACGCGUAACCAACCUACCCGAAUCUGGGGGAUAGCCCGCCGAAAGGCGGAUUAAUACCGCAUAAAACCACAGUGCGGCAUCGCACAAUGGUUAAAGAUUUAUUGGAUUCGGAUGGGGUUGCGUGCCAUUAGCUAGUUGGGGGGGUAACGGCCCACCAAGGCGACGAUGGCUAGGGGAGCUGAGAGGCUGGUCCCCCACACGGGCACUGAGAUACGGGCCCGACUCCUACGGGAGGCAGCAGUAGGGAAUAUUGGGCAAUGGUCGAGAGACUGACCCAGCCAUGCCGCGUGCAGGACGAAGGCUUUCUGAGUCGUAAACUGCUUUUGCCAGGGAAGAAUAAGGGGGAUGCGUCCUCCGACGACGGUACCUGGUGAAUAAGCACCGGCUAACUCCGUGCCAGCAGCCGCGGUAAUACGGAGGGUGCAAGCGUUGUCCGGAUUUAUUGGGUUUAAAGGGUGCGUAGGCGG
rnacentral:rRNA from 1 species